GGAUCAAUUUGUUUGAAAAUCUUCUUAUAAAAAAUGGAAUCUUAACUAUUCCUACCAAUUGUGGUAUGACUUGAAUCGACAAGUGCUGAGAAAUGCUAACCAUCCAAUCUCAUGAAUUGACUUGGGGAAUCAAUAGUGUGAUAAGAGCCAAUGUUACUGGAAUCUGAAGAAGUGAUCAGAAGACAACUCAUUGGCUUUUUGCAGUGCCCCACCUUUGCGGAAGGAAAGGGAAGCAUUGAUUUAACAUAAAUCUUGAAGCCAUCUGUGUACUUUCAAAUUCUAGUCCUCCGGCAGAAAGAAACAGUGAUUAGAAAGAAACUAGAUAAGUACUCAACCCACAGCAACAACUGCCAUCAGCUAGAAGAGGUACUGGAAGACAUCAUUAUUGAGGGGGAUCAAAAUUAAAGAAAAGAUAGUUACCAAUCCAUCAGUUUAAAGUCUCCUCCAAUUCACACGGUCUUCCUUUUUGCCUUUUUUUUGUCAUCUGAUCUGUAAAGAAAGGAGUCAGUGCUGUUUUUGUAUAGAAAGAUGGGACUCUUCCUCUUAUGGGGUCAUGACAGCUGAGCCAGCAAGACCUUACCUCAGCAUCUCCAACAGGUCCUCAGCUUCCAUGGCUGGAUGCUCUUGGUUUUCUUGCAUGAGACAGAAGCUUAGCUGUUUGGGCAAAAUGGGUAGUUGUAAUUUCCACCUUAUUUGCUUUAUUUUGUAUGCAUUUAUAAUUUAUGCUACCGCUGAGCUGUGAUGAUCAAAGGAGGACGACUCUCUCUC